CGACCUGUCCUGGCGCAGAUGGAGCCCGAGGAGACGCGGGAGAUCCUCCUGCCCAACUGGCAGGGCAGCGGCUCCCACGGCAUCACCAUCGCCCAGACCGACGACGGCGUCUUCGUGCGCCGCGUGCAGCAGAACUCGCCCGCCGCCCGUAUGGGCGUGGUGCAGGAAGGGGAUCAGAUCGUCAGCGCCACCGUCUACUUUGACAAGCUGCAGUCGGGGGAGGCGGCGCAGCUGCUGCAGAGCAUGGGGCAGCACACGCUGGGGCUGCGGCUGCAGCGCCGCGGCGACCGCUCGCCCACCGCCCCCCACGGCCACGGGCAGCUGGACACGGUGCCCGGCAGCCCUGAGGUCAUGCUGAGCGGCGAUGACGAGGAGUACCGGCGCAUCUACACCACCAAGAUCAAACCGCGGCUCAAGUCCGAGGAGGGCCCGGAGGCCGAGGCCGGGGGGACGCAGAGCAGAACCAUCACGGUCACCCGCAGGGUCACCGCCUACACCGUGGACGUCACCAGCCACGACGGCGACCUCGGCCUCAUCGGCGGCGCCGACGUCCACGCGGGGCCGGGGCACCUGCCCGGGACACCUGAGGGGCUUCACCUGAGCCAGAUUCCUGCUGGAGAAACUGGAAAAUCCCUGCCGGGCUGGAAGGGCUCCGCAGCCUUGCCAGGGUCGCCCCGGGUCGAGGCCAACGGACAGUUUGGAGAGCUGGACGGGUCACUCCACGUGUCCGGCGGGGCUCCGUGUCCCCACGGAGAGGUCGGCGGCUCCUCGCCGCCCGUGGACGUGGGGAAAAUCAAGAUCCCGACGUUAAAAAUCCCCAAAUUUGGGUUCCAGGCCGGUGGCGAAGCUGCGGCCCCGCAGGUGGGCGUGGGGGCGGACGUCACCUGCUCGCCCGCGCCGGACAUUUGGGCCCCGUCCGGCAAAGCCCCGCAGGUGCCGCAGGUGGACGUGGCGGUCAAAGGGGCCACCAAGGUCCCCUCCCCUCCACUGGAUGUCCCCAGCGUGGAGAUCCCAGCCCCGGACGGCGCCAAGGGGAAAAUCAAAAUCCCGCACUUGACCUUCCCCAAAUUCACCGCCCAGGGUGACGGCGGCGCCGCCGUGGAUGUCCCCAAGGGCGUGGCCGUCCCCAAGGGCGUGGCCUGCCCCGAGGUGGCCCUGGAAGGAGAAUGGAAAGGCCCCACCUUCAAGAAGGUGGAAACGCCCCAAAUUUCACUGUCGGAUGUGAACCUGAACCUGAGGGGCCCCAGAGGGGAAGGGGACCCCAAAGGACUCCAGGUGGACCUGAAGGGUCCCCAGGUGGACGUGGCCGGGCCAGGGGGUGGCCUGAAGGGCGUGGAGGUGGACGUGGACGUGAAGGGGCUGAAGGGAGGAGUGGACGUGUCCGUGCCGAGCGUGGGGGCCGGAUUGAGGGGGCCCCAGCUGGACCUUAAAGGGCCCCAACCUGGGGUGGAGGUGCCCGGGGUGGACAUCAAGGGCCCCGCGGUGAAGGUGCCCGAGGUGGGCAUCAAGACCCCCCAGAUGUCCGCGCCCGACGUCGACCUGAGCCUCAAAGGGCCCGGAGGGAAGGGAAAUCUGGACAUUUCUGCCCCAAAACUGGAAGGGGAGCUGAAGAGCCCCGGGCUGGACAUCAAAGGCCCCAAAGUCGAGGUUGGGAGCCCAGAAAUGGAGAUCCAGGGGCCCGAGGGGAAACUGAGGUUCCCCAAGCUGAAAAUGCCCAAAUUUGGGGUGAAGGGAGAGAGCCCCAGCGUCGAGGUGACCCUUCCCAAAGGGGGGGUGGACGUCUCCUGCCCCAAGGUGGACGUCAGCGUCCCCAGCGUGGACAUCAAGGGCCCCAAGGUGGACGUUGAAGGGCCCGAAGUGGAGGUGCAGGGCCCCGAGGGGAAAUUCAAGAUGCCCAAGUUCAAAAUGCCCAAAUUUGGGAUGCCCGGGGUGAAAGCAGAAGGUCCCGAGCUGGACGUGAACCUCCCGAAGGGCGGCAUGGAGGUGUCCGGCCCCAAGGUGGACGUUGAGGCGCCGAGUUUGGACAUCCAGGCCCCCAAAGUCUCCGUGCCGGGCGUCGAGCUGACCCUGAACGGCGCCAAGGCCAGCGGCGACCUGGACGUGUCCGUGCCGGGUGUGAAGGGCCCCGAGCUGGACAUCAAGGGCCCCAAAGUCGAGGUUGAAGGGCCAGAUUUGGACAUCCAAGGCCCCGAGGGCAAACUGAAGUUCCCCAAGAUGAAAAUGCCCAAAUUUGGGGUGAAGGGAGAGACCCCCAGCGUGGAGGUGACCCUUCCCAAGGGCGGAGUGGACGUUUCGGGUCCCGGCGUUGCCGUCGAGGUCCCCGGCGUGGACCUGAAGGGCCCCAAGGUGAAGGUGCCCGAGGUGGGCAUCAAAACCCCCCAGAUCUCCAUGCCCGACAUCGACCUGAACCUCAGAGGGCCCAAAGUCAAGGCAGAUUUGGACGUUUCCACCCCAAAACUGGAAGGGGAGCUGAAGAGCCCCGGGCUGGACAUCAAAGGCCCCAAAGUCGAGGUUGAAGGCCCAGAUUUGGACAUCCAAGGGCCCGAGGGCAAACUGAAGUUCCCCAAGAUGAAAAUGCCCAAAUUUGGGGUGAAGGGAGAGAGCCCCGACCUGGAGGUGGCGCUCCCCAAGGGGGAGGUGGACGUUUCUGCCCCCAAAGUGGACAUUUCUGCCCCCAAAGUGGACAUUUCUGCCCCCAGGGUGGACAUUGAUGUCCCUGGUGUGGAUGUGGCAGGGCCAGAGGUCAAAGGGAAAGGCCUCAAGUUCAAAAUGCCCGAACUCAACGUUCAGACCCCAAAACUCUCCAUGCCUGACGUGGAUCUGGGCCUGAAGGCCCCGAAACUGAAAGGGGACAUUGGAAUUUCUGGGCUGAAGGGCCCGAAAAUCGACGUGAAAGGCCCCAAGGUGGAUGUGGAAGGUCCCAAGGUGGAUGUGGAAGGUCCCAAGGUGGAUGUGGAAGGUCCCAAGGUGGAUGUGGACGUGCCCGAGGUGGACUUGGAGUGUCCAGAAGGGAAGAUGAAAGGCCCCAAAUUCAAGAUGCCAAAACUCAACAUCAAAUCCCCCAAAAUCUCGAUGCCGGACGUGGAUUUGAACCUGAAGGGACACAAAGUGAAGGGAGAGGUGGACGUGUCCCUCCCCAAGGUGGAAGGCGACAUCAAGGGGCCGAAGGUGGACGUGGAGGUCCCGGACGUCCACCUGGAGGGUCCAGAGGCCAGACUGAAAAUGCCCAAACUGAAAUUGCCUCAUUUCAACGUGUCCGGGCCCAAAAUGGAGGGGCCUGAGGUGGACGUGGCCCUGCCCAAAGGAGAGGUGGACGUCUCCGGGCCGGAGGUGGACGUUGAGGGUCCAGAGGUGGACGUUGGAGGAGCGGAAGGGAAAUGGAAAGGUCCCAAAUUCCGGAUGCCGAAACUCAACAUCAAAUCCCCCAAAAUCUCGAUGCCGGACGUGGACCUGAACCUGAAGGGACCCAAGGUGAAGGGAGAUGUGGACGUGUCCCUCCCCAAGGUGGAAGGGGAAUGGAAAGCUCCAGAAGUGGAAGUUAAAGGGCCGGAAGUGGACGUUGAGGUGCCCAGCGUGGAUUUGGAGGGGCCCGAGGGGAAGAUCAAAGGGCCCAAGUUCAAGAUGCCCGAGAUGCACAUCAAGACCCAGAAGAUCUCCAUGCCCGACGUGGACAUCAACCUGAAGGGCCCCAAGGUCAGGGGCGACGUGGACGUGUCCCUUCCAAAGCUGGAGGGUGACCUGAAGGGCCCCGAACUGGACAUCAAGGGCCCCAAAGUGGACAUUGAGGCACCCGAUGUGGACAUCCACGGCCCUGAGGGGAAAUUCAAGAUGCCCAAGUUCAAGAUGCCCAAAUUUGGGCUGAAGGGAGAAGGCCCCGAGGUGGACGUGAACCUCCCAAAAGGAGACCUGGACGUGUCUGGCCCCAAGUUGGACAUUGAAGGGCCAGAGGUGGACAUUGAGGGCCCAGAGGGGAAGGUGAAGGGUCCCAAGUUCAAGAUGCCCGAGAUGCAUUUUAAGACCCCCAAGAUCUCCAUGCCCGACAUCGAUUUGAAUCUCAAGGGCCCAAAACUGAAGGGAGAUGUCGAUGUCUCUGUCCCCAAACUCGAGGGUGACCUGAAAGGUCCUGAAAUUGACAUCAAGGGCCCCAAAGUGGACAUUGAGGCACCUGAUGUGGACAUUCACGGCCCUGAGGGGAAAUUCAAGAUGCCCAAGUUCAAGAUGCCCAAAUUUGGGAUGCCCGGGGUCAAGGCAGAAGGCCCCGAGGUGGACGUGAACCUCCCAAAAGGAGACCUGGAUGUGUCCUGCCCCAAAGUGGACGUUGAAGGGCCAGAGGUGGACGUGGAGCUGCCCGAGGGGAAGGUGAAGGGCCCCAAGUUCAAGAUGCCUGAGAUGCACAUCAAGGCCCCCAAGAUCUCCAUGCCCGACGUUGAUUUCAACCUCAAAGGCCCCAAAGUGAAGGGGGAUGUGGACGUUUCCCUUCCAAAGCUGGAGGGUGACCUGAAGGGCCCCGAAAUUGACCUCCAGGCCCCCAAAGUGGACAUUGAGACCCCCAAUGUGGACAUUCAUGGCCCUGAAGGAAAAUUCACCAUGCCCAAGUUCAAGAUGCCCAAAUUUGGGCUGAAGGGAGAAGCCCCCGAGGUGGACGUGAACCUCCCAAAAGGAGACCUGGACGUGUCCUGCCCCAAGGUGGACGUUGAAGGGCCAGAGGUGGACAUUGAGGGCCCAGAGGGGAAGAUCAAAGGUCCCAAGUUCAAGAUGCCCGAGAUGAAUAUCAAAGCCCCCAAGAUCUCCAUGCCUGACAUCGAUUUGAAUCUCAAGGGCCCCAAGGUCAAGGGGGGUGUGGAUGUCUCUGUCCCCAAGUUGGAAGGUGACCUGAAGGGCCCAGAACUGGAUGUCAAGGGCCCCAAAGUGGACAUUGAGGCACCUGAUGUGGACAUUCACGGCCCUGAGGGGAAAUUCAAGAUGCCCAAGUUCAAGAUGCCCAAAUUUGGGAUGCCCGGGGUCAAGGCAGAAGGCCCCGAGGUGGACGUGAACCUCCCAAAAGGAGACCUGGACGUGUCCGGCCCCAAGGUGGACAUUGAAGGGCCAGAGGUGGACGUGGAGCUGCCCGAGGGGAAGGUGAAGGGUCCCAAGUUCAAGAUGCCCGAGAUGCACAUCAAGGCCCCCAAGAUCUCCAUGCCCGACGUUGAUUUCAACCUCAAAGGCCCCAAGGUCAAGGGCGAUGUGGACGUGUCCCUUCCAAAGCUGGAGGGUGACCUGAAGGGCCCCGAACUGGACAUCAAGGGCCCCAAAGUGGACAUUGAAGCGCCUGACGUGGACAUUCACGGCCCUGAGGGGAAAUUCAAGAUGCCCAAGUUCAAGAUGCCCAAAUUUGGGCUGAAGGGAGAAGGCCCCGAGGUGGACGUGAACCUCCCAAAAGGAGACCUGGACGUGUCCGGCCCCAAGGUGGACGUUGAGGGGCCAGAGGUGGACGUGGAGCUGCCCGAGGGGAAGGUGAAGGGUCCCAAGUUCAAGAUGCCCGAGAUGCAUUUUAAGACCCCCAAGAUCUCCAUGCCUGACAUCGACCUGAACCUGAAGGGCCCCAAAGUGAAGGGGGAUGUCGAUGUCUCCGUCCCCAAGUUGGAGGGCGACCUGAAAGGUCCGGAUGUGAACAUUAAAGGUCCGAAGUUGGAUGUGGACGUUCCUGAGGUGGACAUUGAAGGUCCCGAGGGGAAGUGGAAGGGACCCAAGAUCAAGAUGCCCGAGAUGAACAUCAAGGCACCCAAGUUUUCUCUGCCUGAUGUCGACCUGAACCUGAAAGGUCCCAAAGUGAAGGGAGACGUGGGCGUGUCUGCCCCAAAAAUAGAAGGUGACGUGAAAGUGCCGGAUCUGGAGUUGAAAGGACCCAAAGUGGACGUGGAUGUCCCUGACAUUGAACUGGAGGGCCCUAAGGGGAAGAUCAAAGGGCCCAAGUUCAAGAUGCCCGAGAUGCACAUCAAGGCCCCCAAGAUCUCCAUGCCCGACUUUGAUCUCAACCUGAAAGGCCCCAAAGUGAAGGGAGACGUGGACGUGUCUGUCCCAAAAAUUGAGGGAGAUUUGAAGGCCCCCGACGUCGACAUCAAAGGCCCCAAGGUCGAUGUGGAUCUGCCCGACGUCGACCUGGAGUGUCCCGAGGGGAAGAUCAAAGGUCCCAAGUUCAAGAUGCCCGAGAUGCACUUCAAAACCCCCAAGAUCUCCAUGCCAGACAUCGACCUCAACCUGAAAGGGCCCAAACUGAAGGGGGAUUUGGACAUUUCUGCCCCAAAACUGGAAGGGGACCUGAAGGGCCCAGAUGUGGACAUCAAAGGUCCCAAGGUGGACAUCGAAGCUCCCGACGUGGACAUUGAUCUCCCAGAGGGGAAGGUGAAGGGCCCCAAGUUCAAGAUGCCCGAGAUGCACUUCAAGGCCCCCAAGAUCUCCAUGCCCGACUUUGAUCUCAACCUGAAGGGCCCCAAGGUCAAGGGGGACAUCGAUGUGUCCGUGCCGAAGCUCGAAGGGGACCUGAAGGGGCCAGAGGUGUCACUGAAAGGUCCAAAAGUGGACGUGGAGGUUCCCGACGUGGAGCUGGAGUGUCCUGAGGGGAAGAUCAAAGGGCCCAAGUUCAAGAUGCCCGAGAUGCACUUCAAGGCCCCCAAGAUCUCCAUGCCUGACUUUGAUCUGAACCUCAAGGGCCCCAAAGUCAAGGGGGACAUCGAUGUCUCUGCUCCAAAGAUGGAGGGUGACCUGAAGGGCCCUGAAUUGGACAUCAAGGGCCCCAAAGUUGAUGUCGACCUCCCCGACGUUGAGCUGGAGUGUCCUGAGGGGAAACUGAAGGGCCCCAAGUUCAAGAUGCCCGAGAUGCACAUCAAGGCCCCCAAGAUCUCCAUGCCCGACAUCGACCUCAACCUGAAGGGCCCCAAACUGAAGGGGGACGUCGAUGUCUCUGUCCCAAAGCUGGAGGGAGACCUGAAAGCCCCAGACAUGGACAUCAAAGGCCCCAAAGCCAAUGUGGAGCUCCCCGACGUUGAGUUGGAGUGUCCUGAGGGGAAGAUCAAAGGGCCCAAGUUCAAGAUGCCCGAGAUGCACAUCAAGGCCCCCAAGAUCUCCAUGCCCGACAUUGAUUUCAACCUCAAAGGCCCCAAAAUCAAGGGCGACAUCGAUGUUUCUGCUCCAAAGCUGGAGGGUGACCUGAAGGGCCCCGAACUGGACAUCAAGGGCCCCAAAGUGGACAUUGAUGUGCCAGACGUGGACAUCCAUGGUCCAGAGGGGAAAUUCAAGAUGCCCAAGUUCAAGAUGCCCAAAUUUGGGCUGAAGGGAGAAGGCCCCGAGGUGGACGUGAACCUCCCAAAAGGAGACCUGGACGUGUCCUGCCCCAAGGUGGACGUUGAGAUGCCGAGUGUGGACAUUGAGGGCCCAGAGGGGAAGAUCAAAGGGCCCAAGUUCAAGAUGCCCGAGAUGCAUUUUAAGACCCCCAAGAUCUCCAUGCCCGACAUUGACCUGAACCUGAAGGCCCCCAAGGUCAAGGGCGAUGUCGAUGUUUCCCUUCCCAAAGUGGAAGGGGAUCUCAAGGGCCCAGAACUGGACAUCAAAGGCCCCAAAGUCGAUGUGGACCUCCCCGAUGUGGAGCUGGAAGGGCCAGAGGGGAAGAUCAAAGGGCCCAAGUUCAAGAUGCCCGAGAUGCACAUCAAGGCCCCCAAGUUCUCCAUGCCCGACGUCGACUUCGGCUUCAAAGGCCCCAAGGUCAAGGGCGACGUGGACGUGUCCCUUCCAAAGCUGGAGGGUGACCUGAAGGGCCCCGAACUGGACAUCAAGGGCCCCAAAGUGGACAUUGAAGCGCCUGACGUGGACAUUCACGGCCCAGAAGGAAAAAUAAAGUUCCCCAAGUUCAAGAUGCCCAAAUUUGGGCUGAAGGGAGAAGGCCCCGAGGUGGAUGUGAACCUCCCAAAAGGAGACCUGGACGUGUCCGGCCCCAAGGUGGACAUUGAAGGGCCAGAGGUGGACGUGGAGCUGCCAGAGGGGAAGGUGAAGGGUCCCAAGUUCAAGAUGCCCGAGAUGCACAUCAAGGCCCCCAAGAUCUCCAUGCCUGACGUUGAUUUCAACCUGAAAGGCCCCAAACUGAAGGGGGACGUUGAUGUUUCUGUUCCCAAACUCGAGGGUGACCUGAAGGGCCCAGACAUCGACAUCAAAGGCCCCAAAGUCGAUGUGGACCUCCCCGAUGUGGAGCUGGAAGGGCCAGAGGGGAAGAUCAAAGGGCCCAAGUUCAAGAUGCCCGAGAUGCACAUCAAGGCCCCCAAAAUCUCCAUGCCUGAUGUUGAUUUCAACCUGAAGGGCCCCAAAAUCAAGGGUGACAUCGAUGUCUCUGUCCCCAAGGUGGAGGGUGACCUGAAGGGCCCAGAACUGGAUCUCAAGGGCCCCAAAGUGGACAUUGAGGCACCUGAUGUGGACAUUCACGGCCCUGAGGGGAAAUUCAAGAUGCCCAAGUUCAAGAUGCCCAAAUUUGGGAUGCCCGGGGUCAAGGCAGAAGGCCCCGAGGUGGACGUGAACCUCCCAAAAGGAGACCUGGAUGUGUCCGGCCCCAAGGUGGACAUUGAAGGGCCAGAGGUGGAUGUGGAGCUGCCAGAGGGGAAGGUGAAGGGUCCCAAGUUCAAGAUGCCCGAGAUGCACAUCAAGGCCCCCAAGAUCUCCAUGCCCGACGUUGAUUUCAACCUGAAAGGCCCCAAACUGAAGGGGGACGUUGAUGUUUCUGUUCCCAAACUCGAGGGAGAGCUGAAAGCCCCAGACAUCGACAUGAAAGGCCCCAAAGUCGAUGUGGACCUCCCCGAUGUGGAGCUGGAAGGGCCCGAGGGGAAGAUCAAAGGUCCCAAGUUCAAGAUGCCCGAGAUGCACAUCAAGGCCCCCAAGUUCUCCAUGCCUGACGUUGACUUCAGCCUGAAGGGCCCCAAGGUCAAGGGUGACAUCGACGUCUCUGUCCCUAAAUUGGAGGGUGACCUGAAGGGCCCUGAACUGGACAUCAAAGGCCCCAAAGUGGACAUUGAGGCACCCGACGUGGACAUUCACGGCCCAGAAGGGAAAAUCAAAAUGCCCAAGUUCAAGAUGCCCAAAUUCGGCUUUUCUGGGCCCAAAGUGGAAGGCCCCGAGGUGGACGUGAACCUCCCCGAAGCCGAGGUCAACGUUUCGGGUCCAAAAGUCGAUGUUUCUGUCCCCGAGCUGGACCUCGAAGGCCCCGAGGGGAAACUGAAGGGCCCCAAGUUGAAGAAGCCGGAGCUGCAGUUCAACGUGCCCAAGAUCUCCAUGCCCGACAUCGACCUGAACCUGAAGGGCCCCAAAGUGAAAGGUGACCUCGAUGCUUCUCUUCCCAAGGUGGAGGGCGAGCUGAAAGGCCCCAGAGUGGACAUCAAGGGGCCGGAGCUCGAGCUGGAGGGGCCGAAAGUUGACCUGGAAGGAAAAGCUAAAAAGUCCAGGUUUAAACUUCCCAAGUUUGGCUUUUCUGGCCCAAAAGUUCAAAGCCCCGAGGUGGAUGUGAAGGUUAAAAAACCUGAGGUGGAACUGUCCGGCCCGAAAGUCGAGGUCCAGGCUCCAGAUUUGGACGUGCAGGGAAAAUCCAAGGGCUCCAAAUUCAAAAUGCCUUUUCUGAACAUUUCUUCACCCAAAGUCUCGAUGCCGGACGUGGAGCUGAACCUGAAGGGGCACAAAAUGAAGGGGGAGUUUGACCUGUCCGCCCCCAAACUGGAAGGGGAGCUGAAGGGUCCUGAGGUGGACAUCAAGGGCCCCAAGGUCGACAUCGAGGCCCCUGACGUGGACGUUCACGGCCCGGAGGGGAAAAUCAAAAUGCCCAAGUUCAAAAUGCCCAAAUUUGGUGUUCCUGGGUUUAAAGGGGAGGGGCCAGAGGUGGACGUGAACCUGCCCUCAGGAGAACUGGACAUGUCCGGUCCUAAGGUGGACAUUGAAGGGCCAGAGGUGGACAUUGAGGGGCCGGAGGGGAAGAUCAAAGGCCCCAAGUUCAAGAUGCCCGAGAUGAACAUCAAAGCCCCCAAGAUCUCCAUGCCUGACAUCGACCUCAACCUGAAGGGCCCCAAGGUGAAGGGGGACGCGGACGUGUCCCUGCCCCAGGUGGACCUGAGGGGACCCAAGGUGGACGUGGACGUUCCCGACGUCGAAGGGCCGAAGGGGAAAAUCAAGGGCCCCAAAUUCAAAAUGCCCGAGAUGAACAUCAAAGCUCCCAACCUGUCCAUGCCGGAGCUGGACCUCAGCCUGAAAGGUCCCAAGGUCAAAGGGGGGGUGGACGUCGAUCUGUCCGCACCAAAAAUCGAAGGGGACCUGAGCUUGCCGGGCGUCGACGUCAAAGGCCCCAAGGUGGACAUUGAAGGGCCAGAGGUGGACCUGGAGGGCCCAGAGGGGAAGAUCAAAGGGCCCAAGUUCAAGAUGCCCGAGAUGCACAUCAAGGCCCCCAAGAUCUCCAUGCCCGACGUUGAUUUCAACCUCAAAGGCCCCAAGGUCAAGGGCGACAUCGAUGUUUCUGCUCCAAAGCUGGAGGGUGACCUGAAGGGCCCCGAACUGGACAUCAAGGGCCCCAAAGUGGACAUUGAUGUGCCAGACGUGGACAUUCACGGCCCUGAGGGGAAAUUCAAGAUGCCCAAGUUCAAGAUGCCCAAAUUUGGGCUGAAGGGAGAAGGCCCCGAGGUGGACGUGAACCUCCCGAAAGGAGACCUGGACGUGUCCUGCCCCAAGGUGGACGUUGAAGGGCCAGAGGUGGACAUUGAGGGCCCAGAGGGGAAGAUCAAAGGGCCCAAGUUCAAGAUGCCCGAGAUGCAUUUUAAGACCCCCAAGAUCUCCAUGCCCGACAUCGAUUUGAAUCUCAAGGGCCCCAAGGUCAAGGGCGAUGUCGACGUUUCCCUUCCUAAAGUGGAAGGAGACCUGAAAGGUCCUGAAAUUGACAUCAAAGGCCCCAAAGUCGAUGUUGAUCUCCCCGAUGUGGAGCUGGAGGGGCCAGAGGGGAAGAUCAAAGGGCCCAAGUUCAAGAUGCCCGAGAUGCACAUCAAGGCCCCCAAAAUCUCCAUGCCCGACUUUGAUCUGAACCUGAAGGGCCCCAAAGUGAAGGGAGACGUGGACGUGUCCCUGCCGAGCGUGGAAGGAGAACUCAAAGGGCCAAAGGUGGACGUGAAAGGCCCUGAAUUCGAUGUUUCUGCCCCAGAUGUUCAAAUCGAGGGCCCCGAAGGGAAGAUCAAGGGCCCCAAGUUCAAGAUGCCUGAGAUGCACAUCAAGGCCCCCAAGAUCUCCAUGCCCGACAUCGACCUCAACCUGAAGGGCCCCAAAUUAAAGGGAGAUGUCGAUGUCUCUGUCCCCAGUGUGGAAGGGGACCUGAAAGGUCCCGAAAUUGACAUCAAAGGCCCCAAAGUCGAUGUUGAUCUCCCCGAUGUGGAGCUGGAGGCGCCUGAGGGGAAGAUCAAAGGGCCCAAGUUCAAGAUGCCCGAGAUGCACAUCAAGGCCCCCAAGAUCUCCAUGCCUGAUGUUGACUUCAGCCUGAAGGGCCCCAAGGUCAAGGGUGACAUCGAUGUUUCUGCUCCAAAGCUGGAGGGUGACCUGAAGGGCCCCGAACUGGACAUCAAAGGCCCCAAAGUGGACAUUGAUGUGCCAGACGUGGACAUCCAUGGUCCAGAGGGGAAAUUCAAGAUGCCCAAGUUCAAGAUGCCCAAAUUUGGGCUGAAGGGAGAAGGCCCCGAGGUGGACGUGAACCUGCCAAAAGGAGACCUGGACGUGUCCGGCCCCAAGGUGGACAUUGAAGGGCCAGAGGUGGAUGUGGAGCUGCCAGAGGGGAAGGUGAAGGGUCCCAAGUUCAAGAUGCCCGAGAUGCAUUUUAAGACCCCCAAGAUCUCCAUGCCCGACAUCGACCUCAAUCUCAAAGGCCCCAAAUUAAAAGGGGACGUUGAUGUUUCCCUUCCCAAAGUGGAAGGGGACCUGAAAGCCCCAGACAUCGACAUCAAGGGCCCCAAAGUCGAUGUGGAUCUCCCCGAUGUGGAGCUGGAAGGGCCAGAGGGGAAGAUCAAAGGCCCCAAGUUCAAGAUGCCCGAGAUGCACAUCAAGGCCCCCAAGAUCUCCAUGCCCGACGUUGACUUCAGCCUGAAGGGCCCCAAGGUCAAGGGCGACAUCGAUGUCUCUGUCCCCAAGGUGGAGGGUGACCUGAAGGGCCCCGAAAUCGAUCUCAAGGGCCCCAAAGUGGACAUUGAGGCACCCGACGUGGACAUUCACGGCCCUGAAGGAAAAAUUAAAAUGCCCAAGUUCAAGAUGCCCAAAUUUGGCUUUUCUGGGCCCAAAGUAGAAGGUCCCGAGGUGGACGUGAACCUCCCAAAAGGAGACCUGGAUGUGUCUGGCCCCAAGGUGGACAUUGAAGGGCCAGAGGUGGACAUUGACCUGCCCGAGGGGAAGGUGAAGGGUCCCAAGUUCAAGAUGCCCGAGAUGCACAUCAAGGCCCCCAAGAUCUCCAUGCCCGACCUGGACCUGAACCUGAAGGGCCCCAAGCUCAAAGGUGACCUGGACGUGUCCCUGCCCAGCGUGGAGGGAGAGCUGAAAGGUCCCGAGGUCGGCGUCACCGCCCCCGAGGUGGCCAUCGACAGCCCCGAGGGCAAGUUCAAACUGCCCAAGUUCAAGAUGCCCAAAUUCUCCAUGCCGGGGUUCAAAGGGGACGCGGUGGACGCGGACCUGACCCUCCCCAGGGGUGACGUGGCCAUCUCGGGCCCCAGCGUGGACCUGGAGGCUCCUGAGCUGAGCGUGGACGCGAAAGUCAAAGGGCCCAAGGUUUCCAUGCCCGAGAUGCACAUCAAGGCCCCCAAGAUCUCCAUGCCCGACGUCGAUUUCAACCUGAAGGGCCCCAAACUGAAGGGGGACGUUGAUGUUUCUCUUCCCAAAGUUGAAGGAGACCUGAAAGGUCCUGAAAUUGACAUCAAAGGCCCCAAAGUCAAUGUUGAUCUGCCUGAUGUGGAGCUGGAGGGGCCAGAGGGGAAGAUCAAAGGGCCCAAGUUCAAGAUGCCCGAGAUGCACAUCAAGGCCCCCAAAAUCUCCAUGCCCGACGUUGAUUUCAACCUGAAGGGCCCCAAGGUCAAGGGUGACAUCGACGUCUCUGUCCCCAAGGUGGAGGGGAACCUGCAGUGCCCGGAUGUCGACCUCAAGGGCCCCAGAGUGGACAUUGAGGCACCGGACGUGACCCUGGAAGGGCCCAAGGUCAAGAUGCCCCAGAUGCACGUCAAGACCCCCCAGAUCUCCAUGCCCGACAUCGACCUGAACCUGAAGGGCCUGAAGGUCAAAGGUGACGCUGACCUGCAUGGCCCCAGGCUCGAGGGGGGUCUGAAGGGCCCCGAGGUGGACAUCAAAGCCCCCAGAGUGGACAUCGAGGGCCCGGCGGUCGACGUCGAUGGUCUGGAGGGGAAAGUGAAGAUGCCCAAAAUGAAAAUGCCCAAAUUUGGCUUGAAGGGGGAAGGUCCCGACGUGGAUGUGAACUUGCCAAAGGCCGAACUGGAUCUGUCUGGCCCCAAAGUCGAUCUCAGCCUGCCAGAGGUCAACGUUGAAGGUCUGGAGGGCAAAGUGAAAGGCCCUAAACUGAAAAUGCCAGAAAUGCACGUGAACGUCCCCAAAAUCUCCAUGCCCGAGAUAGACUUGAACCUGAAAGGCCACAAAACCAAGGGCGGCUUUGACAUUUCCACCCCGAAGGUGGAAGCUCACCUGAAGGGCCCCGAGGUCGACCUCAAAGGCCCAGAAUUCGGGGUCAAAGGCCCUGAGGUUGACGUUGAAUGUCCUGACGUGAAUGUUGAGGUCCCAGAAGCCAACAUCAAAGCUCCCAAGUUUAAAAAGUCCAAAUUUGGGUUCGCAAUGAAAAGCCCCAAGGCAGAGGUGGACUUACCUGAGGCGGAGCUGAACGUGGAGUCCCCCGAGGCCCACCUGUCCGCCAAGGGCAAGAAGAGCAAGUUCAAGAUGCCCAAAAUCCACAUGAGCGGCCCCAAAGUGAAGGGGAAGAAGGGGGCGUUCGACGUCACCGCGGCGGGGGCCGAGCUUGACGCGGAGCUCGGCGCCGCCGUCCCCGACGUCACCGUGGGGGGCGGCGCCGCCGUGAAGUCCCCCAAGGGCAAGAAGCCCAUGUUUGGGAAGAUCUCCUUUCCCGACGUCGAAUUCGACCUGAAAUCGCACAAAUCCCGCGGGGAGGCCUCGCUGGGCGUCCCGAAGGCCGAGGGCGAUCUGGAGGUCAAGGGUGACCUCAGCGCGGACGUGGAAGGUCCCGAGGUGAACCUGAAAAGCCCCAAAGUGAAACUCCCCGGGGUCCAGGUGGGCGCGGGGGACGUGAAAAUCGGGGGGGAGCUGAAGGGCCCCCCCAGCAUCGACGUCGACGUCGGCGUGAAAGGACCAAAAGUGAAAGGUGAAGUCGGCGUGGGCGGAGCACAACUGGAAGGUCCCGAGGUGAACGUGGGAUGGCCCAAGGGGGGGAAAGUGGGUUUGGGGCUGGAAAUGCCGGACGUGGGCUCGGAGGUGGACGUGAAGCUCAAAGGGCCCCAGAUCUCCAGAGCUGAGUUGGAGGGGAACCUGAAAGGACCAAAAUUAAAGGGAGAUUUGGACAUUUCGGGCUCCGCGGAAGGGCCCGGCCUCGCCCUGGACCUCGGCGGCCUUGGGGGGAAGGUGAAGCUGCCCACGGUGAAGACCCCAACUCUGGAGGUCCAGGGGGGCGUCCCCUGCUCCGUCCAGUCCCCGGGGGCCAGCCUGGACCUCCAGGGGCCCUCGCUGGACGUCUCCGGCCUGGAUUUGGAUGUCAACACGAAAGGACCAAAGUUGAAAGGAGACGUCGGUGUCAAAUCCCCCCAGGGGUCGGCGGACGACGCCGGCUUCGAAAUCCUGGGGGGCACCAUCAAGCUGCCCUCGCUGAAGCUGCCCCAGUUCAGCAUCUCCAGCCCCGGCGUGGACGGAGGGGACGCGGGGGUCACUCUGGAGGGCCCCCAGGCCAAGGGGGGGCUGAAGGGCUCCAGUCUGGGCCUGGAAGGCCCCGAGGUGGAGCUGAAAGGGCCGAAAUUCUCCUUGCCGGACGCUGACCUGAGGCUGAAAGGACCAAACGUGGACGUGGCCGGCGACAUCAAAGGGUCAAAGGUCAGCGUGGAAGCCCCUCACGGAGGGAUCGGCGUCCACCUGGAGGCUCCGGCCGUGGAAGUGUCCGGCUCGGGGUUGAACCUCAACGUGAAGGGGCCCAAGGUCAAAGGUGGGGUCGAGGCGACGCCGCCGUCGGUCAGCGCCGCUUCCGGAACCUUCCAGGCCUCGUGCCCCAGGGCGGGCACCGAGGGCGGCCAGGUCAAGGUGUCCUUCCCCAAGCUGAGGAUGCCCAAAUUCGUCUUCUCGGAGCCCGAGGCCAAGGGCCGUGAGGUCGGCGUGGACGUCGACUUCCCUGAGCCGGAGCCGGACGAGGCCGAGGCGCGGCUGAAGAGAUCCAAGCUCAAGAUGCCCAAAUUCAACUUCUCCAAGCAGAAGGGCCGGGCCGCGGGGUCCCCCGAGGCCACGUCCGGCUCCAAGGGCGACCUCAAGAGCUCCAAGGGCAGCCUGGGCCCGGCCGAGGGCGAGCCGGAGGCCGAGGCGCCGGCGGCCAAGGCCAAGUUCUCGCUGUUCCGCGCCAAGAAGCCGCGGCCGCGCUCGUCGUCCUUCAGCGAGGCCGAGCCCGACGGCGCCCGGCAGCCCAAGGGCAAAUUCGGGACCUUCGGGGGCAUCGGCUCCAAGGCCAAGGGCUGCUACGAGGUGGCGGCCGGCCAUGAGGACGGCGCGGGGGCGCCGGGGUCACCCACGGCCGCCCGGCUGUCGUCGUCGUCGUCGUCGUCCGAGGGCGGCGCCCGCGCCGGGAUCCGCCUGCCCGGGCUGGAGCUGGCCGUGGCCAAACGCAAGGAGUGACCCCUGGAGGCCAUGAGUGACCCCUGGAGGUCAUGAGUGACCCCUGGAGGCCAUGAGUGACCCCUGGAGGUCAUGAGUGACCCCUGGAGGUCAUGAGUGACCACCCGGCCAUGAGUGACCCCUGGAGGCCAUGAGUGACCCCUGGAGGCCAUGAGUGACCCCUGGGUGGCCAUGAGUGACCACCAGGCCAUGAGUGACCACCCGGCCAUGAGUGACCCCUGGAGUGGUCAAGCAGUGACCCCCGGGGGGGUUGUACAUAGCCCUGCCCCCAGGGACCCCCACGUGUACAGAGGGAGGGGGAGGGGCUGGGGGUCCCCCCUCCCCCCGGAUUUUGGGGUCCCUUCCCCCCCGCCGAGAGCUUCUCACUUCUUCUCUCCCAAUUUAUCUUUUUUUUUUUUUUUUUUUGAUAUUUUUAUUGGGGUUUAUUUUUGUGUCCCUGGUUUUUUCCUCCUCCUCCCAAAAUAUUUUCAGUGUUUGGUUCGUGGAAAGGAAUUUUUUUUUUUUCCCCCUCAGUUUUAACUUUUUUUUUUUCUUUUUUUUUUUUUUUUUUUUUUUUUUUGUGGGGCAGGAGGUUCGGCUGGGAUUUAUUCAGAGUUUGGGGUCUUGUUUUGGUUUGUGAAAGAAACGAAAGCAAAACUGCGGAUUUUUUAUUGAAAAAAACCCAACCCAACCUGUGGAUUUAUUAAAAAAUGAACCAAACCCAAAACCAUAUUAAAAAACAAAGCAAAAAUGUGGAUUUACCAAAAAAGAAACCAAAUAAAGGGGAAUUAUUAAAAAAACCAAAGUAAAAAUGUGGACCUAUUUAAAAAAAGAUUUAUUGAGGAAAUGAAUAUAAAAAUAAAUUGCAUAAAAGAAUUAACAGGGGCAAAAAUGGGUCUGUUAAGAAAGUAAACCAAAGAAAAGGGGAAUUAUUAAAAAAUAAAAUUAAAUGGGUAUAGCCAAAGAAAUAGGCUCAAAAAAUGUGGAUUUAUUGAGCAGAAUAAACUCCCAAAAAUGGGUUUAUUAAUAAAAUUAACCAAAACCAUCUAUUUAUUAAUAAAAGAAAACAAAAUAUAUGGAUUUAUUAAUAAAAUAAACCAAAAAUCGUGGGUUUAUCAUUCAAAACAAACCAAAAAAAUUUGGAUUUAUCAAUAAAAUAAACCAGACCUGUGGGUUUAUGAAUAAAAUAACCAAAAUAUAUGGAUUUAUUAAUAAAAUAAACCAAAAAAGGUGGGGUUAUCAUUAAAAAUACCCUGAAGCCGUGGAUUUAUUCCUACAAACAGCCCGACAGCGCCGAGUGUGACCUCUGGGACGGCGCCGAGGCCCCGAGCUGGGACAUUCCAGCCGCGGCUCGGGACCCGAGCUCGGAUGACUCCGGGGGAUGGAGCCAGCCCAGAGCUGCUCCCAGGGUUUGGUUUGAUUUUAUUUCAUUUUAUUUCAUUUAUUUCAUUUAUUUUCCUUUUUUAGCUGUUUUGUGGCUGGUUUUGUUGUAUUUGUUACACCCCCUGUACAAUAAUUUGACACAUUCGCCCGUUUCCGUCUCGUUUAGCCCCAAAGUUUAACAGGAGCGUCCGGGGUAAAGUUUUGUGGAUUUUUUUUUGGGGGGAAGUUUAAAUAAAUUGAAUUUAAAAUUUAAAAAUAAUUAAAAAAAAAAAAAAAACCUCAGAAACCAGAAGAAACCUUUUCCCUUUGCAGCACUUUAACGCCAAUUAACGGGAGAAAAUCCGGGGUGGAAAACGCAAAUAAAAUUUGUUUAUUAACCGUGA